AGUGCUGUUUUCCGUGGUAGCGAUCUUCCUUUCUAACCGCUUCCCCCUGCGUCGUUCAUUUCCGUCGGAGGAGAGGUCGAGGAAGAUGCUUUUCCCUUGGCUUUUCCCUGGCUCGGAAGUCCUUUUAUGGCUGGAUGAGGACGUGAGACAAGAUCACUUAUAUGUGGCCAAUUUACUGUGCCAUGAAGACUUUUUGGCAAGUCGAGUUACAGGAGCUGGAUAAUGGAUGACACAGAAAGGCUUUCCCUGCCUGGUCAUCACAUGCUUUUCAUCUAUUCUGAUGAUUGUUGGAAGUCUUAAGCACUGCUCAUCACAUCACUUUGAAGGGUAAGGAUGCCUUGAAGCAGGCCUUGAAAUUGGAAAACACAUUAUCCAUGUUUUCCUGCUGACUGGAAGGAUUCACAGUGAUGAAGGGUCAACAGUUUCUGUUCCAUUCAAGACUUCAUAGGCUGGGAUGAUACGAUGAGUUCAAGUUGGCAUUUCCCUGGGUCAGUGAACAAGAUGCUGCUGGUGUUUUUUACUAUGACAGGUUUCUUGACACAACAGCUGAUUAACAGCCUGAAAGCAAGCAAUGGAUAUAUUUAAUGGCUUUCGUGCUGUCGGUGAAUGAGCGUAGUGCAGGACGGAUGCGGUGGAGCUGGCACUUUCUUUCGGACAAAAUGUUCAUCAGAUCAUAUGGCAUUACAAGUUUAAACUGCAACAGCGGCGUUUCAGCGAUGCUGUCAUCUUCUCAGCCUUCUCUUUCUCACAGCUGCAACACUAUCAUCAGAAGUCGAGAAAUCUGAACGUCUCAUCACGCUGACUACUCUUGUGAUGAGGUGACCCGAGCAAUGCUUGGUGUGCCGCGACCCAUGGAGCUUAUCAGUGGCAGUGGGACGGAGGCAGUCGCUGCACGAGUGCCAUGAGCAUAGAUGACAGGAAUGCAUCGGUCCUGUGUUUGUGGCGAAUGGAGAACAUCGGGAGGAGAGUUGUGGAUCAGCAUUUGAUGAAAGCUGGGAACUGCUAGAACAAACGGCGGUCUUUUUCCCUUGUUCAAUCCCAAGACAUACACUGGUAGAGUUGUGAUGGUAUGUAAGUGCGACAAAUACACGUUACCGAUGAAAAA